UUACUGAAGCGUGAUUAGCCUGUGGCAGU
rnacentral:piRNA from 1 species